rnacentral:rRNA from 1 species
GUUAUUCCCGGCUAGGAAUGACCUGGUUGAAUAAUGCGUGAAAGUACACGAGCGGCGGACGGCUGAGUAACACGUAGGAACGUACCCCAAACUGAGGGAUAAGCACCAGAAAUGGUGUCUAAUACCGCAUGUGCUCUUCGGAGUAAAGCUACGGCGGUUUGGGAACGGCCUGCGCAUGAUUAGCUUGUUGGUGAGGUAAUAGCUCACCAAGGCGACGAUCAUUAGCUGGUCUGAGAGGAUGAUCAGCCAGACUGGGACUGAGAACGGCCCAGACUCCUACGGGAGGCAGCAGUAGGGAAUUUCCACAAUGGGGGCAACCCUGAUGGAGCAACGCCGCGUGCAGGAUGAAGGCCCUAGGGUCGUAAACUGCUUUUAUCUGUGACGAAUAUGACGGUAGCAGAUGAAUAAGGAUCGGCUAACUCCGUG